AUGAGACUCUCAUCGCGGAGGAGCAAACAACCUGGGGGUUUGAUCAACACCUCCGGAUUUAAUUCAAGAAGCUGGGCCAAUCUAGCGAACAAAAUCAUGGCUUCAUCGAGCCGUACCUGCAUCUCCCACCCCGCCCACCUGCAACACGAGCUGACGCUCGAGGGGACUGGGAAGUUCGUGUGCAAUGGUUGUCAUGAGUACGGCAUAGGAGAGAGGUAUAGAUGCCAGACAUGCGGGUACAACCUGCACGACAAAUGCGCCUUCGAGGAAGGAACGAAGAUUGUGCAUCCCUUGCUUAAGAACAUUGAGCUGCAGUUGCGGUUCGCCCCCGCCGGUCCCGAGGGCUCCAAGCUGGUAUGCGACGCGUGUGGCGACGAUGUGACGGGAUUCCAUUACCACAGCAGCAAGUUGUGCCUUCACCCGUGUUGCUGCGAGAAGCCACCGGAUGGUAAGGUGAGGGAGAAGAAGGAUGCCCCCAGGGGAAACCUGGGCUGGCGUAUGCUGUAUGUAAGCGGCGUAGUGGUGCAUGUGACCAUGGCCGCUCUUACCGGAGAUUUUACGGAGGUGAUUAAUAAGUUCUCUGAAUAG
rnacentral:rRNA from 1 species